rnacentral:rRNA from 1 species
AUUGAACGCUAGCGGGAUGCCUUACACAUGCAAGUCGAACGGCGUGGCGAACGGGUGAGUAAUGUAUCGGAACGUGCCCAGUAGCGGGGGAUAACUACGCGAAAGCGUAGCUAAUACCGCAUCCUAUAGGAGCGGCCGAUUUCGGCUUAGAUAGUUGGUGCGGUAACGGCUUACCAAGGCGACGAUCCGUAGGUGGUUUGAGAGGACGACCAGCCACGCUGGAUCGGAGACACGGGCCAGACUCCUACGGGGGGCAGCAGUGGGGAAUGUUGGACAAUGGGUGAAACGCUGAUCCAGCAAUGCCGCGGGUGCGAUGAAGGUUUUCGGAUUGUAAAGCACAUUUGGCAGGGAAGCGGUACAUACAGAAGAAGCACCGGCUAACUACGUGCCAGCAGCCGCGGUAAUUC